rnacentral:rRNA from 1 species
UCGGGAAUAUUGCGCAAUGGAGGAAACUCUGACGCAGUGACGCCGCGUGCAGGAAGAAGGUUUUCGGAUUGUAAACUGCUUUAGACAGGGAAGAACAAAGACAGUACCUGUAGAAUAAGCUCCGGCUAACUACGUGCC